AGGGGUGUAGCUUAGUGGUAGAGUUCUUGCCUUGAUGACAAGGCCCUGGGUUCAAUUCCCAGCACCACAA
rfam:Heterocephalus glaber contig157112, whole genome shotgun sequence.